UCUGCAGUCAGCUCCUGCCCUGCUGUGCUGCCGGUCGCCCCAAGGCUGAAAGACAGAGGACCCAUUGUUUAUGGACUGGAACUCCAAAACUGGGCUCCACCAUUGGAAGUGAAAUGAUGAAGAAGUUUAAUAGCCCUUGGGUGAAGAAGUGCAUCUUAGAAGCCCCUGUGUUUCUCUUCCUCAGCUAACAAACUAAUAGCAGAAGAACAAAGGCCAUAAAUAGUGCUGGUGUAACUCCCCCAGGGAGAGGGACUUGGUACUUCCGGAGAAGAUGCAGGUCAAUAAAAGAGGAUCGAACUCGGGACCUUGCACUUGCAAAGCAUGUGACAGAACCACUGGGCUACGUCCCCAGCCCCGAUGUUGGAAUCUUAAAGCUCAGCCUUGCGCCCGAAGGUGACAAGUCACAGCUGGUCCCUCAAGAAGCAGGGAAGGAAGACAGGUGACA